rnacentral:rRNA from 1 species
CAGCAGCCGCGGUAAUACGUAGGGUGCAAGCGUUAAUCGGAAUUACCGGGCGUAAAGCGUGGGCAGGCGGUUUGUUAAGGCAGAUGUGAAAUCCCCGGGCUUAACCUGGGAACUGCAUUUGUGACUGGCAAGCUAGAGUAUGGCAGAGGGGGGUGGAAUUCCGCGUGUAGCAGUGAAAUGCGUAGAUAUGCGGAGGAACACCGAUGGCGAAGGCAGCCCCCUGGGCCAAUACUGACGCUCAUGCACGAAAGCGUGGGGAGCAAACAGGAUUAGAUACCCCUGUAGUCCCUGUCUCUUAUAC